rnacentral:rRNA from 1 species
GUGUCAGCCGCCGUGGUAAUACGGAGGGUGCAAGCGUUAUCCGGAUUCACUGGGUUUAAAGGGUGUGUAGGCGGGUGUUUAAGUCAGUGGUGAAAUCUCCAGGCUCAACCUGGAAACUGCCAUUGAUACUAUUCAUCUUGAAUUCUGUUGAGGUGGGCGGAAUAUAUCAUGUAGCGGUGAAAUGCUUAGAUAUGAUAUAGAACACCGAUUGCGAAGGCAGCUCACUAAGCAGCGAUUGACGCUGAGGCACGAAAGCGUGGGGAUCAAACAGGAUUAGAUACCCUGGUAGUCCACGCCCUAAACGAUGAUUACUCGACAUACGCGAUACACAGUGUGUGUCUGAGCGAAAGCAAUUAAGUAAUCCACC